GAUGGGAAAGGUAAACGCAAGGCCGAUUCAUUAUCGGAGAGUGCAAGCAAGGCAACAACAACACCCACCAGCACUUCCUAAAUAUGGUGAGUUCACUGAGUUAUUGGCUAGUUGCUAUCUCUACCUUGCAGCAAUAAUUAUGAACGUAAGUUUCUGUUAUUUAAUUUGUUUCUUUUAUUUGGUAGCUAUUGUCAUGCACUCAACAAGUGCUAGGAUGUGUUGUUGGCUUGCUGCUACGGUGCUACCUGCUGGUUGGUUGCUAUGAAGCCUUGAAGGACUGAUGGUGAAUGGCGAUGGCACUCUGCCAGGAUGUGCCCAUUCUGUCAUUUAUGAACCUAUGUAAUAUUACAAAUUUAUUUAGUGUUGUAAGCCUGUAAGUGUGUAGUCCACUAGUCCUGCUCCUGUAGUCCUAUCACUCUAUGAACUGAUGUUGUGAAGCCUGACACUGAAAAUUAAAGUGUGGUGCAAUUUAAUAUCUCAUAUCUGCCCGUCUGCACUAUGCACAAUACUGAUCAUCGGUCCUUUUUGGGUCAAACUGAACUGACCGAACAAAAAACCGAAGACCGAACUGUCGGUCUCUCGAUCUUCAGGUAAAACUUCGGUUGCUGAUAUCAGAAAACCGAAAUAAAAAACCCAAAAGAACCCAAAAAAAUCCGAACCAAAAUUUCGGUUAAGACCGAAU
rnacentral:lncRNA from 1 species